rnacentral:rRNA from 1 species
AGGGAUUGCCCUAGUAACGGCGAGUGAAGCGGCAAUAGCUCAAAUUUGAAAUCUGGCCUCUGGCCCGAGUUGUAAUUUGGAGAAGGUGCUUCGGGGGCGACUAUGGUUCAAGUCCCUUGGAACAGGGUGUCAUAGAGGGUGAGAAUCCCGUAUGUGGCCAAUUGUCAAUCCCAUGUGAAGCCCUUUCGACGAGUCGAGUUGUUUGGGAAUGCAGCUCUAAAUGGGUGGUAAAUUCCAUCUAAAGCUAAAUAUUUGCCAAAUACCGAUAGCGCACAAGUAGAGUGAUCGAAAGAUGAAAAGCACUUUGAAAAGAGAGUUAAACAGUACGUGAAAUUGUUGAAAGGGAAGGAUUUGCAACCAGACUCGUUCGCAGAUGCUCAGCCUUCCUUCGGGAUGGUGUAUUCAUCUGUGAAUGGGCCAGCAUCAGUUUUGACGGCCGGAUAAAAGUUCUAGGAAUGUAGCUCCUUUCGGGGAGUGUUAUAGCCUGGAAUGUAAUGCGGCCUGUUGAGACUGAGGUCCGCGCUUUUGCUAGGAUGCUGGCAUAAUGGUUGUAAGUCGCCCGUCUUGAAACACGGACCAAGGAGUCGACCAAUGACGCGAGUGUUUGGGUGAUAAACCCCUACGCGUAAUGAAAGUGAACGUAGGUAGGAGCCUUCGGGCGCACUAUCGACCGAUCUUGAUGUCUUCGGAUGGAUUUGAGUAUGAGCAUUUUUGGUCGGACCCGAAAGAUGGUGAACUAUGCGCGGAUAGGGUGAAGCCAGAGGAAACUCUGGUGGAGGCUCGCAGCGGUUCUGACGUGCAAAUCGAUCGUCAAACCUACGCAUAGGGGCGAAAGACUAAUCGAACCGUCUAGUAGCUGGUUCCUGCCGAAGUUUC